GGGGGGACGCAGUAGGAUAGGCGAAGCGUACGAUUGGAUUGUACGUCCAAGCAGUGAGAUUGAGUGUUAGGCAAAUCCGGCACUCUUAAGAUUGAGCUGUGAUGGGGAGAGGAAAUUGUUUCCUCGAGUCGUUGAUUUCACACUGCCGAGAAAAGCCUCUAGAUAGAUAAUAGGUGCCCGUACCGCAAACCGACACAGGUAGUCAAGAUGAGAAUUCUAAGGUGAGCGAGCGAACUCUCGUUAAGGAACUCGGCAAAAUGACCCCGUAACUUCGGGAGAAGGGGUGCUCUUUAGGGUGCAAGCCCAGAAGAGCCGCAGUGAAUAGGCCCAAGCGACUGUUUAUCAAAAACACAGGUCUCUGCUAAACCGUAAGGUGAUGUAUAGGGGCUGACGCCUGCCCGGUGCUGGAAGGUUAAGAGGAGUAGUUAGCUUCUGCGAAGCUACGAAUCGAAGCCCCAGUAAACGGCGGCCGUAACUAUAACGGUCCUAAGGUAGCGAAAUUCCUUGUCGGGUAAGUUCCGACCCGCACGAAAGGCGUAACGAUUUGGGCACUGUCUCAACGAGAGACUCGGUGAAAUCAUAGUACCUGUGAAGAUGCAGGUUACCCGCGACAGGACGGAAAGACCCCGUGGAGCUUUACUGUAGCCUGAUAUUGAAAUUCGGCACAGCUUGUACAGGAUAGGUAGGAGCCUUUGAAACGUGAGCGCUAGCUUACGUGGAGGCGCUGGUGGGAUACUACCCUAGCUGUGUUGGCUUUCUAACCCGCACCACUUAUCGUGGUGGGAGACAGUGUCAGGCGGGCAGUUUGACUGGGGCGGUCGCCUCCUAAAAGGUAACGGAGGCGCUCAAAGGUUCCCUCAGAAUGGUUGGAAAUCAUUCAUAGAGUGUAAAGGCAUAAGGGAGCUUGACUGCGAGACCUACAAGUCGAGCAGGGUCGAAAGACGGACUUAGUGAUCCGGUGGUUCCGCAUGGAAGGGCCAUCGCUCAACGGAUAAAAGCUACCCCGGGGAUAACAGGCUUAUCUCCCCCAAGAGUUCACAUCGACGGGGAGGUUUGGCACCUCGAUGUCGGCUCAUCGCAUCCUGGGGCUGUAGUCGGUCCCAAGGGUUGGGCUGUUCGCCCAUUAAAGCGGUACGCGAGCUGGGUUCAGAACGUCGUGAGACAGUUCGGUCCCUAUCCGUCGUGGGCGUAGGAAAUUUGAGAGGAGCUGUCCUUAGUACGAGAGGACCGGGAUGGACAUACCUCUGGUGUACCAGUUGUCGUGCCAACGGCAUAGCUGGGUAGCUAUGUAUGGACGGGAUAAGUGCUGAAAGCAUCUAAGCAUGAAGCCCCCCUCAAGAUGAGAUUUCCCAACUUCGGUUAUAAGAUCCCUCAAAGAUGAUGAGGUUAAUAGGUUCGAGGUGGAAGCGUGGUGACACGUGGAGCUGACGAAUACUAAUCGAUCGAAGACUUAAUCAAUUU
rnacentral:rRNA from 1 species